ACCAGUCCCCUCUUCCCUCUCGCGCACUCCGUCGUCGCCUUUGAACCCCUGCACGCCCAUUCUCUCUCCUCCUUUCUUCGCCCAUUAUUCGCUGCUGCUGCUGCUCGUAUUUUCCGCCGCCGCCGAAGCUUCGAGGAAGCCGCCGACCUUUCGUGUUGCGCCACACCACCGCGAGUUGCUGUUCGGUUUCGCCGGAGCUCCGAGCUCCCAUGUCGGUCGCUCGUCCCUGCUCCAAGAGAGCAGAGAACUCGUUCCUCGGAGCUCAGUAAGGACGAUAUCAAGGACAUAAGAAGAGGAUUAUUUUAUUAUUCUGCAAUCAAGGUACUGCUGGGGACGAUGGUACUGCGUAGUGGCAAGGAUUACCACCUUAUUAAAUCAUCUAGUAAUAGUGCUACUAACUUGUAAGGUUAACUUAACUAGAAUGUAAGACCAUAUGCUUUAAUAUAAGUUAUCGUUGUUAUGUCA